rnacentral:rRNA from 1 species
UAGGGAAUCUUCCGCAAUGGACGCAAGUCUGACGGAGCAACGCCGCGUGAGUGAAGAAGGAUUUCGGUUCGUAAAACUCUGUUGUUAGAGAAGAACAGCGCAUAGAGUAACUGUUAUGCGUGUGACGGUAUCUAACCAGAAAGCCACGGCUAACUACGUGCCAGCAGCCGCGGUAAUACGUAGGUGGCAAGCGUUGUCCGGAGUUAUUGGGCGUAAAGCGAGCGCAGGCGGUCAAUUAAGUCUGAUGUGAAAGCCCCCGGCUCAACCGGGGAGGGUCAUUGGAAACUGGUUGACUUGAGUGCAGAAGAGGAGAGUGGAAUUCCAUGUGUAGCGGUGAAAUGCGUAGAUAUAUUGAGGAACACCAGUGGCGAAGGCGACUCUCUGGUCUGUAACUGACGCUGAGGCUCGAAAGCGUGGGUAGCAAACAGG